rnacentral:lncRNA from 1 species
GGGAGUAAAAUUGUUUAUCAGGUCAAGAUCUAUCUACCCUGAAAUUUUCAGAUGAAUCGGACAACCUGUUGUUGGGUUGCUGCCCCUGAAUUGGUAAUUUUAAGGAAAUUUUGCUGUUUUUGGUUAUUAUCUUGAACAUUAUUAUAGAUAGAGAUAAACUGUAAAAAGCAAUAAUGUUCAGCAAAGUAAGAUUUACAAAUAAGUCAACAUGACCGAAAUGGUCAGUUGACCCCUUUAGGAGUUAUUGCCCUUUAUAGUCAAUUUUUAACGUUUCGUAAAUCUUAGUAAUCUUUUACAAAAAUCUUCUUCUCUGAAACAAAUGGGCCAAAUUAAUCCAAACUUGGCCACAAUCAUCUUUGGGGUAUCUAGUUUAAAAAAUGUGUCCGGUGACUCGGCCUACCAACCAAGAUGGCCGCCACCGCUAAAAAUAGAACAUAGGGGUAAAAUGCAGUUUUUGGGUUAUAACUCAAAAACCAAAGCAUUUAGAGCAAAUCUGACAUGGU